UCCUACGGGAGGCAGCAGUGGGGAAUUUUGGACAAUGGGCGCAAGCCUGAUCCAGCCAUGCCGCGUGCAGGAAGAAGGCCUUCGGGUUGUAAACUGCUUUUGUCAGGAAAGAAAUGGCUCGGGUUAAUACCCGGGGGUGAUGACGGUACCGUAAGAAUAAGCACCGGCUAACUACGUGCCAGCAGCCGCGGUAAUACGUAGGGUGCAAGCGUUAAUCGGAAUUACUGGGCGUAAAGCGUGCGCAGGCGGUUUUGUAAGACAGAGGUGAAAUCCCCGGGCUCAACCUGGGAACUGCGUUUGUGACUGCAAGGCUGGAGUGCGGCAGAGGGGGAUGGAAUUCCGCGUGUAGCAGUGAAAUGCGUAGAUAUGCGGAGGAACACCGAUGGCGAAGGCAAUCCCCUGGGCCUGCACUGACGCUCAUGCACGAAAGCGUGGGGAGCAAACAGGAUUAGAUACCCUGGUAGUCCACGCCCUAAACGAUGUCAACUGGUUGUUGGGUCAGGUUCCGUCUCAGUAACCGAAGCUAACGCGUGAAGUUGACCGCCUCCGACU
rnacentral:rRNA from 1 species